GCACGGAGUUAGCCGAUCCUUAUUCUUACAGUACCGUCAAGCUACUUCACGAAGUAGUGUUUCUUCCUGUAUAAAAGCAGUUUACAAUCCAUAGGACCGUCUUCCUGCACGCGGCAUGGCUGGUUCAGUCUUGCGACCAUUGACCAAUAUUCCUCA
rnacentral:rRNA from 1 species